rnacentral:rRNA from 1 species
GACGAACGCUUGCGGCGUGCCUGAGAAAUGCAAGUCGAGCGGUCCAGCUUCAAGCUGGAUAGCGGCGAACGGUCGAGUAACACGUAAAGAACCUGCCCUCAGGACCGGGAUAGCCCUGCGAAAGCGGGAGUAAUACCGGAUAUAGUGAUGGGAGGGCAUCCUCCCGUCAUGAAAGGGAGCGAUCCGCCUGAGGAGGGCUUUGCGGCCUAUCAGCUAGUUGGUAGGGUAACGGCCUACCAAGGCGACGACGGGUAGCUGGUCUGAGAGGACGGACAGCCGGACUGGGACUGAGACACCGGCCAGACUCCUACGGGAGGCAGCAAUCAGGGAUCUUGCGCAAUGGGCGAAAGCCUGACGCAGCGACGCCGCGUGGGCGAGGAAGUCCUUCGGGACGUAAAGCCCUUUUCACCGGGAAGAGGAAGGACGGUACCGGCGGAAUAAGCCCCGGCCAACUACGUGCCAGCAGCCGCGGUAAUACGUAGGGGGCGAGCGUUGUCCGGAUUCACUGGGCGUAAAGGGCGCGUAGGCGGCCAGUUAAGUCAGCAGUAAAAUUCACAGGCUCAACCUGUGAAGGACUGUUGAAACUGGCUGGCUUGAGUGCAGGAGAGGGGAGUGGAAUUCCAGGUGUAGCGGUGGAAUGCGUAGAUAUCUGGAGGAACACCCGUGGCGAAGGCGGCUCCCUGGCCUGCUACUGACGCUGAGGCGCGAAAGCUGGGGGAGCGAACGGGAUUAGAUACCCCGGUAGUCCCAGCCGUAAACGAUGGUCACUAGGUGUGGGAGGAACUGACCCCUUCCGUGCCGAAGCUAACGCGAUAAGUGACCCGCCUGGGGAGUACGGCCGCAAGGCUGAAACUCAAAGGAAUUGACGGGGGCCCGCACAAGCGGUGGAGCAUGUGGUUUAAUUCGUCACAAACCGAAGAACCUUACCAGGGCUUGACAUCCCCUGAAUGCACUGGAAACAGUGCAGGCCCACCGACAGGUGGGACAGGGAGACAGGUGUUGCAUGGCUGUCGUCAGCUCGUGUCGUGAGAUGUUGGGUUAAGUCCCGCAACGAGCGCAACCCCCACCCGAUGUUGCCAGCGUAAAGACGGGGACUCAUCGGGAACUGCCCGCGCAAGCGGGAGGAAGGUGGGGAUGACGUCAAGUCGGCAUGGCCCUUAUGCCCUGGGCUACACACAUGCUACAAUGGGCGCUACAAAGGGCAGCGAAGGGGCGACCCGGAGCGAAUCCCAAAAAAGCGUCCUCAGUUCGGAUCGGGGUCUGCAACUCGACCCCGUGAAGCCGGAAUCGCUAGUAACCGCCGGUCAGCCAAACGGCGGUGAAUACGUUCCCGGGCCUUGUACACACCGCCNGUCACGUCACCUGAGUCUGCUGCACCCGAAGACGGUGGCCCAACCCGAAAGGGAGGGAGCUGGSGAAGGUGUGGCCGGUAAGGGGGACG